rnacentral:misc_RNA from 1 species
AAUGAUUCCAUAAUGAAACUAUUUCUGUCAAGCAUAAAAUUUUGAAAAACUCCACAAAACAGUCAAGAAAUAUGCUGAAAAAAAGUACCAUAACUGCAAACAGAUCUACUUAGGAUUUCAAAUUGACUAAUAUUUCAUGGAUAACCCUAGACAAUGAUGUCAGGAAGAACUCAAAACAAACAAAAUAAAUCUAAUUCAUCCA